UAACGUCGCAGGACCAAAGAGGGGGACCUUCGGGCCUCUUGCCAUCAGAUGUGCCCAGAUGGGAUUAGCUUGUUGGUGAGGUAACGGCUCACCAAGGCGACGAUCCCUAGCUGGUCUGAGAGGAUGACCAGCCACACUGGAACUGAGACACGGUCCAGACUCCUACGGGAGGCAGCAGUGGGGAAUAUUGCACAAUGGGCGCAAGCCUGAUGCAGCCAUGCCGCGUGUAUGAAGAAGGCCUUCGGGUUGUAAAGUACUUUCAGCGGGGAGGAAGGUGUUGUGGUUAAUAACCGCAGCAAUUGACGUUACCCGCAGAAGAAGCACCGGCUAACUCCGUGCCAGCAGCCGCGGUAAUACGGAGGGUGCAAGCGUUAAUCGGAAUUACUGGGCGUAAAGCGCACGCAGGCGGUCUGUCAAGUCGGAUGUGAAAUCCCCGGGCUCAACCUGGGAACUGCAUUCGAAACUGGCAGGCUUGAGUCUUGUAGAGGGGGGUAGAAUUCCAGGUGUAGCGGUGAAAUGCGUAGAGAUCUGGAGGAAUACCGGUGGCGAAGGCGGCCCCCUGGACAAAGACUGACGCUCAGGUGCGAAAGCGUGGGGAGCAAACAGGAUUAGAUACCCUGGUAGUCCACGCCGUAAACGAUGUCUACUUGGAGGUUGUGCCCUUGAGGCGUGGCUUCCGGAGCUAACGCGUUAAGUAGACCGCCUGGGGAGUACGGCCGCAAGGUUAAAACUCAAAUGAAUUGACGGGGGCCCGCACAAGCGGUGGAGCAUGUGGUUUAAUUCGAUGCAACGCGAAGAACCUUACCUGGUCUUGACAUCCACGGAAGUUUUCAGAGAUGAGAAUGUGCCUUCGGGAACCGUGAGACAGGUGCUGCAUGGCUGUCGUCAGCUCGUGUUGUGAAAUGUUGGGUUAAGUCCCGCAACGAGCGCAACCCUUAUCCUUUGUUGCCAGCGGUCCGGCCGGGAACUCAAAGGAGACUGCCAGUGAUAAACUGGAGGAAGGUGGGGAUGACGUCAAGUCAUCAUGGCCCUUACGACCAGGGCUACACACGUGCUACAAUGGCGCAUACAAAGAGAAGCGACCUCGCGAGAGCAAGCGGACCUCAUAAAGUGCGUCGUAGUCCGGACUGGAGUCUGCAACUCGACUCCAUGAAGUCGGAAUCGCUAGUAAUCGUGGAUCAGAAUGCCACGGUGAAUACGUUCCCGGGCCUUGUACACACCGCCCGUCACACCAUGGGAGUGGGUUGCAAAAGAAGUAGGUAGCUUAACCUUCGGGAGGGCGCUUACCACUUUGUGAUUCAUGACUGGGGUGAAGUCGUAACAAGGUAACCGUAGGGGAACCUGCGGUUGGA
rnacentral:rRNA from 1 species